CAGUAGCCGCGGGAAUACGAAGGGGGCUAGCGUUGUUCGGAAUUACUGGGCGUAAAGCGCACGUAGGCGGACAUUUAAGUCAGGGGUGAAAUCCCGUGGCUCAACCCCGGAACUGCCUUUGAUACUGGGUGUCUAGAGUAUGGAAGAGGUGAGUGGAAUUCCGAGUGUAGAGGUGAAAUUCGUAGAUAUUCGGAGGAACACCAGUGGCGAAGGCGGCUCACUGGUCCAUUACUGACGCUGAGGUGCGAAAGCGUGGGGAGCAAACAGGAUUAGAUACCCGUGUAGUCCCUGUCUCUUAUAC
rnacentral:rRNA from 1 species